rnacentral:rRNA from 1 species
GACGAACGCUGGCGGCGUGCUUAACACAUGCAAGUCGAACGAUGAAACCUAGCUUGCUAGGUCGAUUAGUGGCGAACGGGUGAGUAACACGUGACUAACCUGCCCCUUUCUCUGGGAUAACGCUCCGAAAGGAGUGCUAAUACCGGAUACUCACACCGAGGCACAUGCCUUGGUGUGGAAAGUUUUUCGGAAAGGGAUGGAGUCGCGGCCUAUCAGCUUGUUGGUGAGGUAACGGCUCACCAAGGCGACGACGGGUAGCCGGCCUGAGAGGGCGAACGGCCACACUGGGACUGAGACACGGCCCAGACUCCUACGGGAGGCAGCAGUGGGGAAUAUUGCACAAUGGGCGCAAGCCUGAUGCAGCGACGCCGCGUGAGGGAUGAAGGUCUUCGGAUUGUAAACCUCUUUCAGUAGGGACGACGCGAAAGUGACGGUACCUAAAGAAGAAGCACCGGCUAACUACGUGCCAGCAGCCGCCGUAA